UAAGCUAUAGUUUAUUAAAAAUAUAUGACUUGCACUCAUAAGUAAUUUCAUUGAAAUUUGCUUCA
rnacentral:tRNA from 1 species